UACGGAGGGUGCAAGCGUUAUCCGGAUUUACUGGGUUUAAAGGGUGCGUAGGUUGCAAUAUAAGUCAGUGGUGAAAGGUCGUAGCCUAACUACGGAUGUGCCAUUGAUACUGUAUAGCUAGAGUUGACACGAGGUACUUGGAAUGCGUCAUGUAGCGGUGAAAUGCUUAGAGAUGACGUAGAACACCAAUAGCGAAGGCAGAGUACCAGUGUACGACUGACACUGAGGCACGAAAGUGUGGGGAGCGAACAGGAUUAGAUACCCUGGUAGUCCACACCGUAAACGAUGCUAACUGGAUUUUUUGGACAAUAGGUUCGGAGAGUCUGAGGGAAACCAUUAAGUUAGCCACCUGGGGAGUACGCCGGCAACGGUG
rnacentral:rRNA from 1 species